rnacentral:tRNA from 1 species
GGGCUCAUAGCUCAAUGGUCAGAGCCCCCGGCUCAUAACCGGUCGGUUCCAGGUUCGAAUCCUGGUGAGCCCACCA